GCCGGGUUAGCUCAGGUGGUAGAGCACGCGUCUUGUAAACGCGAUGUCGUCGGUUCGAAUCCGACACCCGGCU
rnacentral:tRNA from 1 species